rnacentral:rRNA from 1 species
AAUAGAUACCCGGGUAGUCCACGCUGUAAACGGUGGGUACUAGGUGUGGGGUCCAUUCCACGGGUUCCGUGCCGUAGCUAACGCUUUAAGUACCCCGCCUGGGGAGUACGGCCGCAAGGCUAAAACUCAGAGGAAUUGACGGGGCCCCGCACAAGCGGCGGAGCAUGCGGAUUAAUUCGAUGCAACGCGUAGAACCUUACCUGGGUUUGACAUGGAUCGGGAGUGCUCAGAGAUGGGUGUGCCUCUUUUGGGGUCGGUUCACAGGUGGUGCAUGGCUGUCGUCAGCUCGUGUCGUGAGAUGUUGGGUUAAGUCCCGCAACGAGCGCAACCCUUGUUCACUGUUGCCAGCACGUUAUGGUGGGGACUCAGUGGAGACCGCCGGGGUCAACUCGGAGGAAGGUGGGGAUGACGUCAAGUCAUCAUGCCCCUUAUGUCCAGGGCUUCACGCAUGCUACAAUGGCUGGUACAGAGAGUGGCGAGCCUGUGAGGGUGAGCGAAUCUCGGAAAGCCGGUCUCAGUUCGGAUUGGGGUCUGCUAACCG